CAUCAAAUAGCUUAAAGUAAGCACAAGCCUCUUAAGCUUUGAGAUGGUAGGUGACGACUACUUUUGAUGA
rnacentral:tRNA from 1 species